UGGGGAAUUUUGGACAAUGGGCGAAAGCCUGAUCCAGCAAUGCCGCGUGUGUGAAGAAGGCCUUCGGGUUGUAAAGCACUUUUGUCCGGAAAGAAAUCCUUGGGCUCUAAUACAGUCGGGGGAUGACGGUACCGGAAGAAUAAGCACCGGCUAACUACGUGCCAGCAGCCGCGGUAAUACGUAGGGUGCAAGCGUUAAUCGGAAUUACUGGGCGUAAAGCGUGCGCAGGCGGUUUGCUAAGACCGAUGUGAAAUCCCCGGGCUCAACCUGGGAACUGCAUUGGUGACUGGCAGGCUAGAGUAUGGCAGAGGGGGGUAGAAUUCCACGUGUAGCAGUGAAAUGCGUAGAGAUGUGGAGGAAUACCGAUGGCGAAGGCAGCCCCCUGGGCCAAAUACUGACGCUCAUGCACGAAAGCGUGGGGAGCAAACAGGAUUAGAUACCCUGGUAGUCCACGCCCUAAACGAUGUCAACUAGUUGUUGGGGAUUCAUUUCCUUAGUAACGUAGCUAACGCGUGAAGUUGACCGCCUGGGGAGUACGGUAGCAAGAUU
rnacentral:rRNA from 1 species